rfam:Drosophila ficusphila unplaced genomic scaffold scf7180000454113, whole genome shotgun sequence
AAACCAUUAUUGAUGAUAAACUCAUACCCAAAUCAGACCAAUUGUGUUGAAAUCUUUUAACAUGCAUCACCAUCUGACUCACCUCUU